UGGGGAAUAUUGGACAAUGGGCGAAAGCCUGAUCCAGCAAUGCCGCGUGAGUGAUGAAGGCCUUAGGGUUGUAAAGCUCUUUUACCCGGGAUGAUAAUGACAGUACCGGGAGAAUAAGCUCCGGCUAACUCCGUGCCAGCAGCCGCGGUAAUACGGAGGGAGCUAGCGUUAUUCGGAAUUACUGGGCGUAAAGCGCACGUAGGCGGCUUUGUAAGUUAGAGGUGAAAGCCUGGAGCUCAACUCCAGAAUUGCCUUUAAGACUGCAUCGCUUGAAUCCAGGAGAGGUGAGUGGAAUUCCGAGUGUAGAGGUGAAAUUCGUAGAUAUUCGGAAGAACACCAGUGGCGAAGGCGGCUCACUGGACUGGUAUUGACGCUGAGGUGCGAAAGACGUGGGGAGCAAACAGGAUUAGAUACCCUGGUAGUCCACGCCGUAAACGAUGAUAACUAGCUGUCGGGGCUCUUAGAGCUUCGGUGGCGCAGCUAACGCU
rnacentral:rRNA from 1 species